rnacentral:rRNA from 1 species
AGCGGCGGAUGGGUGAGUAACACGUGGGGAACCUGCCCCUAAGUCUGGGAUACCAUUUGGAAACAGGUGCUAAUACCGGAUAAUAAAGCAGAUCGCAUGAUCAGCUUUUGAAAGGCGGCGUAAGCUGUCGCUAAGGGAUGGCCCCGCGGUGCAUUAGCUAGUUGGUAAGGUAACGGCUUAUCAAGGCGACGAUGCAUAGCCGAGUUGAGAGACUGAUCGGCCACAUUGGGACUGAGACACGGCCCAAACUCCUACGGGAGGCAGCAGUAGGGAAUCUUCCACAAUGGACGCAAGUCUGAUGGAGCAACGCCGCGUGAGUGAAGAAGGUUUUCGGAUCGUAAAGCUCUGUUGUUGGUGAAGAAGGAUAGAGGUAGUAACUGGCCUUUAUUUGACGGUAAUCAACCAGAAAGUCACGGCUAACUACGUGCCAGCAGCCGCGGUAAUACGUAGGUGGCAAGCGUUGUCCGGAUUUAUUGGGCGUAAAGCGAGCGCAGGCGGAAAAAUAAGUCUAAUGUGAAAGCCCUCGGCUUAACCGAGGAACUGCAUCGGAAACUGUUUUUCUUGAGUGCAGAAGAGGAGAGUGGAACUCCAUGUGUAGCGGUGGAAUGCGUAGAUAUAUGGAAGAACACCAGUGGCGAAAGCGGCUCUCUGGUCUGCAACUGACGCUGAGGCUCGAAAGCAUGGGUAGCGAACAGGAUUAGAUACCCUGGUAGUCCAUGCCGUAAACGAUGAGUGCUAAGUGU